rnacentral:rRNA from 1 species
CCUUGUACACACCGCCCGCCACAUCAUGAAAGUGGAUUGUACUAGAAGUCCUAAUCAAACAGGCCCAAGGUGUGAUUCAUGAUUGGGGUG